rnacentral:rRNA from 1 species
UACAGGGGGCUCGAGCGUUAAUCGGAAUCACUGGGCUUAAAGGGUGCGUAGGCGGAUCAGUAAGCGUCCCGUGAAAUCCCUUGGCUCAACCAAGGAACCGCGGGGCGAACUGCUGAUCUUGAGGAAGCUAGAGGCGGGUAGAACGAUAGGUGGAGCGGUGGAAUGCGCAGAUAUCGGGAGGAACACCGGUGGCGAAGGCGGGUCUCUGGGCAGUAACUGACGCUGAGGAGCGAAAGCUAGGGGAGCGAACGGG